AUAGAAAGGAAUCUCUCUUACACAUACUGGUUACUCAGCUGAUUUAAUUGUUAACAUUAUUAUCUUCAGGGAUUUGGUUUGGCUUUAAAAUUUUAAAAAAUCUCAUCUUUAUCGUAUCAAAUACAGUGAGGUUUCUAGUUGUGAAACUGUGCUUGACACAAGAUAAAAUCUCAAGAGAUGGAGAAAAUACAAGAGAAGAACAGAAAUGAGGGAAGAAGUGAUAGGACUUAAGGUGUUGGGGAGAGAGGUGGAUGAGGCAAGGAUUCUAUCUUUCAAGGAACUGGUAUUAAAAACUUACCAUGUGUAACAAGCACUACCCAAGGCCACAGGUAGUAAACAAGAUAGUCAUACCCCAGCUGUCACAGAACUUACCCAACUGACUGAAUUUCCACUCAAAGUGAAUCAGGAUACCACUGACAAAAAGUAUGGAGGAAGUGAAAAGUUGGCUGAUUGUUGGGUUUUGAAUGAUGCACCACAGAACAAAGAGUUCAGUGGUAGAAAAUGUGGAACUGAAGUCCGGGCUACAGAUGGAGCUUUUGAGGGGAUGACUGGCUCAACAUGUAAGAAAUGUUCUGCAAACGGCUUCAUCGGUUCCCUGCUCCUGAGCUGUUCUGCUUCUCAUAGGAUGCUGACUUACAUCCUUUCUGGCUCCAAGCCCACAUCCCGGACAAAGAGUGUGGCCCUUCUCCUGCUCCUACUCCUUCCACCUGGAGUGCCGUCCAAAGCCUCCCGGAAGCCACAAGAUCACCUGGUUCAAUAAUAUCUUACUAUCGAAUGGUUCGAUAUUCUACUCUAUUCUCAGCAGUAUUUUAAAGCAAUAAAAUAUGGUUUGAAUACAGCA